rnacentral:lncRNA from 1 species
GUGGCGACCCCAAAUUCGGAUACUUGAAACCCGAACUCGGUUCUCCACGAUACCAUUUCUUUAAGCUGAAUAAUACUAAAUAAUAAUAAUAAUAUAAUUCAAACUUAAUUUACAUACAUCAAAGUUUACUUUCCCAGGUACGUGACCUUCAAAAUACAUUCCUUACAAUACCUGACAAUAGAUUCCAUUGUCUUACUAACUAUAACCAUUAACUCAUACUAAUUCUCAUUCGAACAGCUUUUCUUUUCCCUUGUUCGUGCCUGAGCCUUCAGGUCGAUCGUAGGUAACUGAAAACAUUUAGUUUAAGCAAGGAUGAGCAUUUGAGUG